AGAGUUCGAUCCUGCUCAGACGACGCUGCGGCGUGCCUAAUACAUGCAAGUCGAGCGGACUUUAAAAGACUUGCUUUUAAAGUUAGCGGCGGACGGGUGAGUAACACGUGGGCAACCUGCCUGUAAGACUGGGAUAACUUCGGGAAACCGGAGCUAAUACCGGAUAAUCCUUUUCUACACAUGUAGAAAAGCUGAAAGACGGUUUACGCUGUCACUUACAGAUGGGCCCGCGGCGCAUUAGCUAGUUGGUGAGGUAACGGCUCACCAAGGCAACGAUGCGUAGCCGACCUGAGAGGGUGAUCGGCCACACUGGGACUGAGACACGGCCCAGACUCCUACGGGAGGCAGCAGUAGGGAAUCUUCCGCAAUGGACGAAAGUCUGACGGAGCAACGCCGCGUGAGUGAUGAAGGUUUUCGGAUCGUAAAACUCUGUUGUUAGGGAAGAACAAGUACAAGAGUAACUACUUGUACCUUGACGGUACCUAACCAGAAAGCCACGGCUAACUACGUG
rnacentral:rRNA from 1 species